GAGGGGGUAUUGGAUGACAUUAACAUUUAAAUCAGUAGACUAAGUAAAGCAGAUGAACGUGGGUGGGACUCAUCCAAUUGAUUGAAGGCCUGAAUAGAACAAAAGUGCCAACACCCCUGAGUAAGAAUUCCUACCAGUGACCUUCAAACUGGACAUCAGCUUUUUCCUGCCUUUAGACUCAAUUGAAACAUUAGCUUUUCCUGGGUCUUGAGCCUUCAGAUUGGAACAAUACUCCCAGUCCUCCUGGGCCUCGAGUUUGCUAACUCAACCUGCAGAUCUUGGGACUUGCUAGCCUCCAUAAUCAUGUGAGCCAAUUCCUUAUCAUAAAGCUCUGUCUAUAUGUACAUCUUAUUGGUUCCAUUUUUCUGGAAAACUGACAUAGCCACCAUUAUCACAUACUGAAUUCUUACAUGAUCUUAGGCCUUUACAUAUAUUUUUUUUCAGACUCUGAAAUACUUAGUUUAUUCUAGCCGUUAAAGAUGCAUCUUUGCCCCAGUGCGGUGGCUCACGCCUGUAAUCCUAGCAAUUUGGGGGGCCGAGGUGGGUGGAUCACCUGAAGUCAGGAGUUCAAGACCAACCUGGCCAACAUGGUGAAACCUUCUCUCUACUAAAAAUACAAAAAUUAGCUAGGCACAUGCCACCAUGCCAAGCUAAUUUUUGUAUUUUUAGUAGAGACCGGGCUUUACCAUGUUGGCCAGGAUGGUCUUGAUCCCUUGACCUCGUGAUUGGCCCACCUCGGCCUCCCAAAGUGCUGGGAUUAUAGGUAUGAGCCACUGCGCCCGGCCACUAUUUGCAUUUUUUAAGGUGUCAUUCAAUAAACUUAUAGUUUCCUUUACAUAGCCUGCACAUUUAAUUCUAUAUGUUUUUUAGAACAUGUAAACAUCUUGACCAAGUUUUAUAGUUUCCUUCACAUAGACCACACAUUUAUUUAAUUCUAGAUAUUUUUUAGCACAUGGAAGCAUCUUGAUCAAGCUUGUCUAACCUGUGGCCCAUGGGCUGCAUGUUGCCCAGGAUGGCUUUGAAUGCAGCCCAGCACAAAUUUGUAAACUUUCUUAAAACAUCAUGUGUAGGGAGACCCCCUGAAACUGUUGCUACGGAAUAAAAGAUGAAAUGCUUCUGAUUAUUGUAAAUUCAAAAUUGCAUGCGGGAUUGUGUAAAGACCAUGCCAGGUUGGACUGUCAGAAUGAGCCAACAGCGUGUGAUGUGCUUCCCCCUGCAGAGAGCCUAUGAAUGGACGCGCAGUCAGGGAGGUUUCACAACACCAAGAUUCCUAUCCCGGAAAAGCAGAUGUUUAUAGCUGUGGGAAUGGAAUGCGACCCUCGUGGAAAACCUAUAAACAGGCGCAUGGGGGGCAUCUGUCCAUAUGGAUAAGAUAGGGCUAUAAAUGCCCUUAUCUUGCCGUGGCUCUUCUAGGCCUCUUUAGGGUUCAUACUCCCUUCUGAGAAUUUCUGGUCUAACUGAUUGUCUAACUUCAGGUCCUGUUUCUAUGAAUUGUUUGUAACCAGCUUUUGCUGCAACUGUUACUGUUCAUUAAUAUCUUGCUAAUCAUAGGUUAUGGAAAGACCGUGUUCCUGUUUUAAGGCUCUGUUAGAAAUUAAACUUCACCUCCUGUUUCUAUGAACUGUUUGUAAUGAGCUUUUGCUGUAACUGUUACUGCUGUUCCUGUUUUAAGGCUCUGUUGGAAAUUACUGAUGCACACACUAUGUUGUAAAUUCUUAUCUCUGUAUACUGUACUUCUCUGUACAGAUGUUAUGUUAAAGAAUUACUUCAUCCCCAUGUGACCAUCUCACCACAUAAUCAAAUAACCCUAAAUCCCUCACUAACGUACCCCCGCCCUCACUAAACUCAGUAAUAAAUGCUGGCAUAUCCAGGGCAUUGUUGGCACCACGGGACCAGAAGGCUGUGACCCCCCUGGACCCAGCUUUCAC
ensembl:lncRNA